rnacentral:rRNA from 1 species
AUUGAACGCUGGCGGCAGGCUUAACACAUGCAAGUCGAGCGGAGAUGAGGUGCUUGCACCUUAUCUUAGCGGCGGACGGGUGAGUAAUGCUUAGGAAUCUGCCUAUUAGUGGGGGACAACAUUCCGAAAGGAAUGCUAAUACCGCAUACGUCCGACGGGAGAAAGCAGGGGAUAUUCGGACCUUGCGCUAAUAGAUGAGCCUAAGUCGGCUUAGCUAGUUGGUGGGGUAAAGGCCUACCAAGGCGACGAUCUGUAGCGGGUCUGAGAGGAUGAUCCGCCACACUGGGACUGAGACACGGCCCAGACUCCUACGGGAGGCAGCAGAGGGGAAUAUUGGACAAUGGGGGGAACCCUGAUCCAGCCAUGCCGCGUGUGUGAAGAAGGCCUUAUGGUUGUAAAGCACUUUAAGCGAGGAGGAGGCUACUGAGACUAAUACUCUUGGAUAGUGGACGUUACUCGCAGAAUAAGCACCGGCUAACUCUGUGCCAGCAGCCGCAGUAAGAC